GGGGGGGGGGGGGGGGGGGGGGGGGGGAGGGGAGGCGAGGGGGACCUGCGGGGCGAGGGGCGCACGGGUGCGUAACGCGUGGGAACCUGCCCUUAGGGUCGGAAUAACUCCCCGAAAGGGGUGCUAAUACCGGAUAAUGUCUUCGGACCAAAGAUUUAUCGCCUGUGGAUGGGCCCGCGUUGGAUUAGCUAGUUGGUAGGGUAAAAGCCUACCAAGGCGACGAUCCAUAGCUGGUCUGAGAGGAUGAUCAGCCACACUGGGACUGAGACACGGCCCAGACUCCUACGGGAGGCAGCAGUGGGGAAUAUUGGACAAUGGGCGAAAGCCUGAUCCAGCAAUGCCGCGUGAGUGAUGAAGGCCUUAGGGUUGUAAAGCUCUUUUACCCGGGAUGAUAAUGACAGUACCGGGAGAAUAAGCUCCGGCUAACUCCGUG
rnacentral:rRNA from 1 species